UUUAAUAUUUUGACGAGCUGUGAUGAUAUCGCUCCCUCCCUCUCUUUUGUUUGAACUGUGCAUAUCACUAACUUAUCUGCUCUUUCAGGUAUGUUAGAAAUUCUAUUGAAAGAUGCUCUUUAACAAAUUUAUCUGAACCCACAGAUCUGGACUUUUCAAGUUACGACGUAUAAAGAGAACUUUAUUUGUUUUUGACACAGUAUUUUGAGACCGAUGGGAAACUGCUACCAAUAGUGUGUCCUAAGAUCAUUGACAUUGUACGCCUGUUUUAUCCAUAGAAGUUAGAUUCUAGGUGUUCUAAGCCUGUACUAUAGCUGGUUACUGAACAAGUGAUUGGAGAGAGACCACAUAUAGAAGAAAUUCGGAAGAUCCAUGUUCUCUUGAGUCUUGCAGAAAUGAGCUUAAAGUAUAUAAAUCUUUUUUUUGGAGAAUACCAGGCUUGGAAGCUCUGUCAUCCUGAUGUUGGACAUGUAUUUCAAUAUUUUAGGAAGGUUGGUAUUAAACUGAUGCCCUUUCAGAUUAUGAUACUCGUCAAUGACCACUUCUACAGGUCUUGAAAUGUAAUCACUGGUUUGAUGCGGUUUGCCGUGUCU